GUGCGAACGCCGGAAGAGUCCCAGAGUGGAGCGGAGCUCUUGGUGCCCCUGAGGUGAAACCACUCUGAGGCAAUGACAGAGAAGCAUUAACAUCUAACAGCUCAUGACUGCAAAACAACUCCAGUCUGACCUGGGUGGUUAAUGGGGACUGCCACUAUUACGAUGCCUAUAUUUGGAAAUUUCAAGGUUUUCUUCCAAUAAACUGUUUGACUCCACUGACUUUACAAAACCACAGGACGGAGGGAAAUCGGUUGGUACAUAAACAGCCCUGUUGUAAGUUAUCCAUCAAGUCAAGAUCGC
ensembl:lncRNA